rnacentral:rRNA from 1 species
UACAGAGGUGGCAAGCGUUGUUCGGAAUUACUGGGCGUAAAGGGCGCGUAGGCGGCCUUCUAAGUCAGACGUGAAAUCCCCAGGCUUAACUUGGGAACUGCGUCUGAUACUGGGAGGCUUGAGUGCGGGAGAGGGAUGUGGAAUUCCAGGUGUAGCGGUGAAAUGCGUAGAUAUCUGGAGGAACACCGGUGGCGAAGGCGGGUCUCUGGGCCGAUACUGACGCUGAGGAGCGAAAGCGUGGGGAGCGAACAGG